AACUCCAUCGAAAUCCUUCAUUUCUUGUGGCACCGUCUAAAAUUUGCUUCGAUUGAAGAAAUUUUGACGCCCAUGACAGCGUUGAAAUUUCUUCAAUGCAAACAAAUUUUUUAUCUUCCUUUCAUCGAGGAUUUUCAUACCAUGUGAAGGAGAGAUCAGUUCCAUCCGUUCCAAGUCGUUCGGGUGUUUUGGUUAGUUAGGCUUAAGAAGCAAGGGCUAGUGAAAGAGAAGCAUUUGAUUGUCCUACAAGUAAUAAGCUUCUCCUCAAUCAUUCAACCAUUUUUUUAGUAAAGAAAGAGGCUUCUCCUCUGGCAACCAAAGUCCGUCCCUCGUUAACAGGUAUAAGUUGAAUGGAAGAGUUUUUUAGCCUUGAUGGAUCUUGAGUACCUGAAUCGCCGAUGAAACAGAGGUUAUUUUCUCGAAAAUUCCACGAAUUGUUCAGGCUUAGAGGUGCAAGGACUUGUGAAAGAGAAGCAUUUGAUUGACCAACGAGUAAUUAGUUUCUCCUCAAGCAUCCCACCACUUUUCUAUUAAAGAAAUACAGGUACGUCUACGCUAUUACUUUUCAUGUCCUUUUACUUAAGAUAUUUAUAUAAAUAUAUAUAAAAAUAAAUAAGAUCCAUCUUUGGUAAUUUUUUUUAAAAUCAAAUCUGUGAAUAUUCAUUUCAUCUCUAAAGUUUUGCGUUUUGUUACUUUUUAAAAUUCCCUCCAUGUUACUAUUACACUCCUAUAUUUGUGUUGUAAUUAUGAUGUCCUUUUUCUAUGGUCUGUUAAAGUUAAUUUAAAUCCUUUUUUGCUCUUGGUUUAUGUUGAAGAAAUGGAAGAGUUUUUUAGCCUUAA